ACUCAAAUGAAUUGACGGGGACUCGCACAAGCAGUGGAUCAUGUGGCUUAAUUCGUCGACAAGCGAAGAACCUUACCCGGGCUAGAAAUGCAGCUGCACGCCCUCCGAAAGGAGGGAAGCCUUCGAGGGUGCUGCACAGGUGAUGCAUGGUCGUCGUCAGUUCGUGGCUUGAGCUGUUCCCUUCAGUGGGGUAACGAACGCAACCCUCGUUGUCUGUUACUUAUGUCAGGCGAGACUGCCCCCUCACGGGGGAGGAAGGUGAGGAUGACGCCAGAUCAGCAUGUCCCUUUGAUGCCCGGGGCCGCACACGUGAUACAAUGGUUCAUACAAAAGGACGCAAGACCGCAAGGUGGAGCAAAUCCCAAAAAUGAACCCCAGUACGGAUAGAGGUCUGCAACCGACCUCUUGAAGCCGGAAUUGCUAGUAAUCGUAGGUCAGCCAUACUACGGUGAAUACGUUCUCGAGUCUUGUACACACCGCCCGU
rnacentral:rRNA from 1 species